rnacentral:rRNA from 1 species
AGUUUGAUCCUGGCUCAGGAUGAACGCUAGCUACAGGCUUGACACAUGCAAGUCGAGGGGCAGCAUGGUCUUAGCUUGCUAAGGCUGAUGGCGACCGGCGCACGGGUGAGUAACACGUAUCCAACCUGCCGUCUACUCUUGGCCAGCCUUCUGAAAGGAAGAUUAAUCCAGGAUGGCAUCAUGAGUUCACAUGUCCGCAUGAUUAAAGGUAUUUUCCGGUAGACGAUGGGGACGCGUUCCAUUAGAUAGUAGGCGGGGUAACGGCCCACCUAGUCAACGAUGGAUAGGGGUUCUGAGAGGAAGGUCCCCCACAUUGGAACUGAGACACGGUCCAAACUCCUACGGGAGGCAGCAGUGAGGAAUAUUGGUCAAUGGGCGAUGGCCUGAACCAGCCAAGUAGCGUGAAGGAUGACUGCCCUAUGGGUUGUAAACUUCUUUUAUAAAGGAAUAAAGUCGGGUAUGCAUACCCGUUUGCAUGUACUUUAUGAAUAAGGAUCGGCUAACUCCGUGCCAGCAGCCGCGGUAAUACGGAGGAUCCGAGCGUUAUCCGGAUUUAUUGGGUUUAAAGGGAGCGUAGAUGGAUGUUUAAGUCAGUUGUGAAAGUUUGCGGCUCAACCGUAAAAUUGCAGUUGAUACUGGAUGUCUUGAGUGCAGUUGAGGCAGGCGGAAUUCGUGGUGUAGCGGUGAAAUGCUUAGAUAUCACGAAGAACUCCGAUUGCGAAGGCAGCCUGCUAAGCUGCAACUGACAUUGAGGCUCGAAAGUGUGGGUAUCAAACAGGAUUAGAUACCCUGGUAGUCCACACGGUAAACGAUGAAUACUCGCUGUUUGCGAUAUACGGCAAGCGGCCAAGCGAAAGCGUUAAGUAUUCCACCUGGGGAGUACGCCGGCAACGGUGAAACUCAAAGGAAUUGACGGGGGCCCGCACAAGCGGAGGAACAUGUGGUUUAAUUCGAUGAUACGCGAGGAACCUUACCCGGGCUUAAAUUGCACUCGAAUGAUCCGGAAACGGUUCAGCUAGCAAUAGCGAGUGUGAAGGUGCUGCAUGGUUGUCGUCAGCUCGUGCCGUGAGGUGUCGGCUUAAGUGCCAUAACGAGCGCAACCCUUGUUGUCAGUUACUAACAGGUGAUGCUGAGGACUCUGACAAGACUGCCAUCGUAAGAUGUGAGGAAGGUGG